rnacentral:rRNA from 1 species
UACGUAGGGCGCAAGCGUUGUCCGGAAUUAUUGGGCGUAAAGAGCGUGUAGGCGGCCAGGUAGGUGGGUUGUGAAAACUGGAGGCUCAACCUUCAGACGUCGACCCAAACACCCUGGCUAGAGUCCGGAAGAGGAGAGUGGAAUUCCUGGUGUAGCGGUGAAAUGCGCAGAUAUCAGGAAGAACACCAACGGCGAAGGCAGCUCGCUGGGACGGUACUGACGCUGAGACGCGAAAGCGUGGGGAGCGAACAGG